rnacentral:lncRNA from 1 species
GGAACAAUAAUUCAAGGCGACUGAUUGACAGUGACUGCUACCAAAUUAGCAUUUCCGUGGAAGCCAGCAUCAGUUAUUGUCAACAGACAUUAUCCAUGUCGGAGACUUUCUGAACUGCUUUUCAACACAGGCCAAAUUACUCAGUAUGCAAGGAAACAGAAGAAACUUUGUCUGAAUACCGUAUUAGGACAGAAGCAAGGAUCUUGUGUUCUUUCACACUAUAUAGUGUUCUUUAAAUUGUAAAAGGUGGCUACACCUGUUACACUGACAUCUCACAUUUUGACUCACAGGAUUACAACUCUUGAAUACAAGUUUAAUGAUAGUUGACUGAGUCAAGAAGCCAAAGAACAAGCAAAUGUGAUAAACACUGGAAGGAAAAGAAAAAUGAGUAAAGCCAACUCUUUGUGCUCGGAGAAUUUAUAAUCUAGCAAUGAAGGGCUAUGCAGUAUGAUACUCUUUGAUGCUGGACAGCAGCAGCGAGCUGCAGCUCCUAAUCAGCCAUGCAAUCACGAGGGUAAAUAGACGAUACACUUACAACCAUUGUGCACCCAUACAACCAUUCU